rnacentral:rRNA from 1 species
UACGUAGGGGGCCAGCGUUGCUCGGAAUUACUGGGCGUAAAGGGUUCGUAGGCGGUGUGGCAAGUCGGAAGUGAAAUCUCCAGGCUUAACUUGGAGGCUGCUCCCGAAACUGCCAUGCUAGAGUGCGGGAGAGGCCAGUGGAAUUGCAGGUGUAGCGGUGAAAUGCGUAGAUAUCGUAAGGAAGACCAGUGGCGAAGGCGGGUCUCUGGACAGUUCCUGACGCUGAGGCACGAAGGCCAGGGGAGCAAACGGG